rnacentral:rRNA from 1 species
GACGAACGCUGGCGGCGUGCCUAAUACAUGCAAGUAGAACGCUGAAGAGAGGAGCUUGCUCUUCUUGGAUGAGUUGCGAACGGGUGAGUAACGCGUAGGUAACCUGCCUUGUAGCGGGGGAUAACUAUUGGAAACGAUAGCUAAUACCGCAUAACAAUGGAUGACACAUGUCAUUUAUUUGAAAGGGGCAAUUGCUCCACUACAAGAUGGACCUGCGUUGUAUUAGCUAGUAGGUGAGGUAACGGCUCACCUAGGCGACGAUACAUAGCCGACCUGAGAGGGUGAUCGGCCACACUGGGACUGAGACACGGCCCAGACUCCUACGGGAGGCAGCAGUAGGGAAUCUUCGGCAAUGGGGGCAACCCUGACCGAGCAACGCCGCGUGAGUGAAGAAGGUUUUCGGAUCGUAAAGCUCUGUUGUAAGUCAAGAACGAGUGUGAGAGUGGAAAGUUCACACUGUGACGGUAGCUUACCAGAAAGGGACGGCUAACUACGUGCCAGCAGCCGCGGUAAUACGUAGGUCCCGAGCGUUGUCCGGAUUUAUUGGGCGUAAAGCGAGCGCAGGCGGUUUGAUAAGUCUGAAGUUAAAGGCUGUGGCUCAACCAUAGUUCGCUUUGGAAACUGUCAAACUUGAGUGCAGAAGGGGAGAGUGGAAUUCCAUGUGUAGCGGUGGAAUGCGUAGAUAUAUGGAGGAACACCGGUGGCGAAAGCGGCUCUCUGGUCUGUAACUGACGCUGAGGCUCGAAAGCGUGGGGAGCGAACAGGAUUAGAUACCCUGGUAGUCCACGCCGUAAACGAUGAGUGCUAGGUGUUGGAUCCUUUCCGGGAUUCAGUGCCGCAGCUAACGCAUUAAGCACUCCGCCUGGGGAGUACGACCGCAAGGUUGAAACUCAAAGGAAUUGACGGGGGCCCGCACAAGCGGUGGAGCAUGUGGUUUAAUUCGAAGCAACGCGAAGAACCUUACCAGGUCUUGACAUCCCGAUGCUAUUUCUAGAGAUAGAAAGUUACUUCGGUACAUCGGUGACAGGUGGUGCAUGGUUGUCGUCAGCUCGUGUCGUGAGAUGUUGGGUUAAGUCCCGCAACGAGCGCAACCCCUAUUGUUAGUUGCCAUCAUUCAGUUGGGCACUCUAGCGAGACUGCCGGUAAUAAACCGGAGGAAGGUGGGGAUGACGUCAAAUCAUCAUGCCCCUUAUGACCUGGGCUACACACGUGCUACAAUGGUUGGUACAACGAGUUGCGAGUCGGUGACGGCAAGCUAAUCUCUCAAAGCCAAUCUCAGUUCGGAUUGUAGGCUGCAACUCGCCUACAUGAAGUCGGAAUCGCUAGUAAUCGCGGAUCAGCACGCCACGGUGAAUACGUUCCCGGGCCU